GUUAGUGUCGUAUUGACUGUUUUGAAAAGUACUAACAUCUUUAUUAAAGGAGGACUACUUUUCCUAGAUAAAAGACCAGUAGGGUCUCAUCUAUUUAAUUUCAUUUUUUGGUUUUAUUUACAUGAGACUCACUAGCUUAGUGGUUCUUUUUCUGAACAUGAUAAAGAAUAUAUUAAAGUGUCGAAGAAACUGCUUCUAUAAGCAAAUUUUUAGCGUUUCUUCUUAUUUGGCUCAAGUCAUUCUAGAUGGAAAUCUUCGUUCUUUUCUGUCUGCGAACACAGGUGAGUACUCUACCUACAUGGCUUUGUGAUCUUAUUUGGCCAACUCUUUGGAAUGCCUCUAUAAUGCCUGAAUAAGUGUUUGCUUAUUCAGGAGUUAGCCAGAUAACCAGCAUGUGGAAUAUCUAGGUCACAGAAGGCAGAAGAUACAGGAUUGAUAUCUCAGGAACUGCAGAUCUAGUAGCAGGAGAUAGGACAGGCUUAAAUUUUGCAGUGGACUGUAGGAGAAAAUAUAAACUUUAAGCACCACAUUCUUGAAGGUGCAACUUUUGGUGUUAAGUUUUGUCCCCUCUGUUACGUAUAGCCAUCUAAUAUCAGUGAAUAGUUUUAAAAGUUCCCUUCAUUCUCUUCCUUUACGCCAGGGCUUUCACAAGCUUCCUCAUUGGUCUUCUUUUACCUGCCCUGCACACUAGUAGUCUUCAGAUGUUUUGUGACUCCUGGUACUUUACUGGUGUUUCAAAACCUUAUUGCCUCUCUUCUGUUUUCUGAAGAAAUGAUGGCAUUAAAUAUAAAUCAUUCUUGGAUCUCCAAAGGAAUGGUAAAUUUUUUUUUUUUUUUAAGGAAUCAGGUGGGCAAUAUUUUAGAACUCCAGGCUAUAAAGUUUUUUUUUUUAACUAUUCAACCUAUUUGUUGGAAAGUUGCCUUCCAUACUACUUAAAGAAAUGGGCACCGAGGAUGUAGCUCAUUUGAAUCCAUGUCUAGCAUGUGUGAAGGCCUGGGUUUGGUCUCUGACACCAUAUCGAUCAGUUGUGGUGAUGUACACCUGUGUCCCCGUAUUUGGGAGGUGGUGGAAGCAGGAGGACCAGGAGUUAAAGGUCAGCCAUGGUUAUAUAGCAAGUUAGAGGCCAGCCUCAAAUACAUGAGAUCCAGUCUUAGAAAGAAUAGGAAGAUUUGGGGGUGGCUGUUCCAACAGGAUCUUACUUAGAAAACGGGGCUAGCACAAGCUAUAGUUUGAUGAGCCUUGGGAUUUGACAGCCAUAAUAAUAAUAAUAAUAAUGAUAAUGAUAAUAAUAAUAAUAAUAUAGCAGUUAUACAGCCAAAUCAAAUUAAUUUCUGCCUAAAUAAGGGAGAAAUGAUAGUUUUUAGGCAGAAGGGAAGAAACUUUUAGAGACUAAGCUGGUUUGCUAGGUCAGGGAAGUUUUGUAAGAUGAGAUUGGCUACAUAUGUUAUUAGUCUUAAAAGUUAACUGCCAAAUCUAAUAUUUGUAGAGAUAGAGAAGAAAGUUAUACAUUCUGAUGGAUUGAAAUGGAUGAGGGAACAAUAUAAGCUUGUACGAUUUUCUUGGGGGGAGGGAAAUGAGAGGUGGCUGUGGAAAGGAUGCGUGCUGUAGAUACUCUUUGGUAGUAGAUCUUGGUAUUUGCAAGAUAAAAUCCUUUUAGAACAGUUGACAGGUCUCACUAUGACUAUAGUUCUAUUUUUUGUAUCUGGUAAUGGAGAAAAUGUGUGUUUAUAAAGAGUUGUUAAUACUCUCCUAAAGACUUUGUAUUUUACUAUCACAAUACUGUACCUUGGUUAAUGCACAUGUAUGGGAGGUGGUCUUUAUAUAAUGUAUGACGUGGCACCUAAGCUGUUGCUAAUUGUCUAUCUCCCCAGGAGUUCUGAGCUUGGAAUUCAUUAAGCUAACACAUCAACAUAAAAGAAUAAAGAUUGCUUAGAAGUAGUGUUCAGUCACAAUUAGGAUAAUAUGAAUGUAGUAAACUCAUUUUAAAGCAUUCUGUUGUUUUGGUAAUAUUUGGGUCUAAAGAUCCCCUCAACUAGUUUCUAUUCAUGUUCCUGUGUGUGUGUGUGUGUGCACACACACAUAUACAUAUAUAUAUAUUUUUUUUUUCUUAGUAUCUCCAUUUGGUGCCUUUAUUGUAAAUCUGAAACCUUGUUUUAGAUUUAGCAUACUGAAGCUAAAGUUUGUUUUUAUUUUGUAACAGGUCUCUGCUGGUUUAAGGAUCUGCAGAGAUGGUAAAAGCUAACUGCAGUAUUUAGAUAAUUUCUGAAAACAUAAACUAGGCAUUGACUUUAUGAAAGAACUUGAAAUGGGAAAGGGUGGCCCUGAGAAAGAGACGUUGCUGAUGCUAUGGACCUAAAGAGGAAGUGGCUGGAUGGACUUGAUGUGGCACUGGCCUUGGAGCAUGGUGUGGGGGCAAAGCUGCCUUUCUCCUGUUGGAUGGUGAGGAAAUCUGGUUGGAGAGAAGGUUUCUAUAAGAGAGGAUCAAAGGCAAGUUUGUGGCUAGAAAAGAUACACACAAGGAGAAGGCUUAUUUAUUUGGUAAUUUUUUUAUUAUAUAUUAUAUAAAAGUGUUUUUAUAAAAACACUUUUAGUUUUUAUUUGUAUAUAUAUGUGCACAUGCAAGCAUGGGUGUGCGUAAGUUUGGACAUGUGAGUACUGUGGCACACUUGUGGAGACCAGAGAACAACUUAAAAGAAUUAAUUCUCUCCUUCUACCAUGUGGGUCCUCAGAGUCUGUGUUGUUUCCUACUAAGCUGCCUCACCAGUUCACUAAAAUGUGUAAGUGUUGGGGCAUGACAAGGAAAGGUGGAGCUAAUGGAGCUAAGUCUGAGAACCCUGAGAAAAAGAGAUGCUUCAAAUACAGAUUGGCAUAAGAACAUAGAAAUGUACAUAUUUUAAACUAGACACCAAUUGUUUCAUUGAAGAGACUAAUACAGUAAGAAACUGAGUUAAUUUUAUAGAAGUCUCAGCCAUUGGAGUUAAGUCUUAGAAAAUUCUGAUAAUGUCACUGAAAUUUUGUGGUUUAUAAAUGAGUACAAUUAUUGAAAUUGAACUAUCACAUAAGUAUGGAAGACUAUAUAAAUGCAUACGUAUUCUGCAUUUUCUCUCUAGAUAUAUUUUCACAGAUAGAGGAUUCAUAGUUGCUAUGGAUUUUUAGCAAUCUCAAUAUACACAUUUUCUAUCAUUAAGAACCUCUACAUUUUCGAAGGAAGGACUUUAUAACAUUUUCUCUUUGGUCUAUUCCAGAUGCCAGUAUCACUGUUGUUGAACUUUGAGGCUGCUGUUCAAUAAAAUGAGGGGUACUUAAUACUACCUUUGUGAUAUGAUGAUUUGCCUGAGAACUGAGAGGGCUGUUGAGGGACUAGGAGGCAGUACUGUAUGCAACACAUAUGCUAGAUAAGGGAUGAUUCUCGAAAGCCAGUAUGGGAGGAUAGUGUAAGAUGUUGCCAAGCUACUCAGAAUGGGGUACAGCUUGAAAUUUACUGCACUGGUUAUUCCUGGAACUUUCCAUUUAAUAUUUUUUCAGAUUGUAGUUGACCAUGUGUAACACACUCUGGAGACCAAACCAUGGAUAGAUAGAGAGGGCUUCUGUGUUAGAAAAGCAUGUCUGUUGUUGGGAGAGAAGAAACCGAAAGAAACAAGCAUGUUUUCAUUGCUGUAGUGAGUGGCAACCUUUGUUUGCAUAAGACAGCGAAAUAAUAAAGACAAUAAGUGCUUUAGGAAUUGUUUUCCUUGGAUUAAAAAGAGGACAUUUUAACUGUAGGAAGAAUGGUUAAUUUUUGGUCUAGGUCUUUAUUAAGGAUGGAAUGUUGUAAUGAACUCCAGAGUCCUGUAACCCAGCUUCAACAGUGACUCACAGCUGACACCGGCCUUAGAGCUUGGAACUGAUGCUUUCUUUCUUUCUAUCUGCAGUUACAUGCUUCUAUCACUAUUCUGAAGCAGAACGUAGAUAGAAUGUUAUUUCACUCAUAUAUACAGUGUCUGUUUCACUCUGUAAAUCUUUCUGAAAAGAAAUUCAUUUAAAAAAAUGUAAUUAUUAUCACUCCC
rnacentral:lncRNA from 1 species